CCCUUAGAUGUCCUGGGCCGCACGCGCGCUACACUGAUGCAUUCAACGAGUUUUACCUUGGCCGAGAGGCCUGGGCAAUCUUUUAAACCUGCAUCGUGAUAGGGAUAGAUUAUUGCAAUUAUUAAUCUUGAACGAGGAAUUCCUAGUAAACGCAAAUCAUCAAUUUGCAUUGAUUACGUCCCUGCCCUCUGUACACACCGCCCGUCGCACCUACCGAUUGAAUGGUCCGGUGAAGCCUCGGGAUUGUGGCCAGUUCACUUUAUUGGGAGUUGGCUGUGAGAACUUGUCUAAACCUUAUCAUUUAGAGGAAGGUGAAGUCGUAACA
rnacentral:rRNA from 1 species